CCAGCCGAGAAAUUGGCAUCCAAUUCUUCGAUUCACUUUUGGACACAAAGAAAAUAGAACGAUUCAACCCUCCGGGCAAUGUCACCGUACAUUGCAACACGACGCACUGCAUCGUACGGUGGAAACAACCCAGGACCUACCAGAAGCUGUCGUACCUGGACUUUCAGUACCAGCUGGACGUCCACAGAAAGAAUACCCAGCCUGGCACGGAAAACCUACUGAUUGAUGUUUCUGGUGAUUUGGAAAAUAGAUACAACGUUCCAAGCGCUGAGCCCAGAGCAAAACAUAAUGUGAAGAUCAGAGCUGCAGAUGUCCGCAUCCUGAAUUGGAGUUCGUGGAGUGAAGCUGCUGAAUUUGGUUGCAGUGAGCCAAGAUCGCGCCAUUGUAUGCCAACUUGGGUAACAGAGCAAGAUUGCAUCUCAAAACAAAUAAUAAUAAUAAAUAAAAUAAUACUAAAAGCAUAA
rnacentral:sRNA from 1 species